rnacentral:rRNA from 1 species
GACGAACGCUGGCGGCGUGCUUAGCACCUGCAAGUCGAACGGUAAGGCCCUUCGGGGUACACGAGUGGCGAACGGGUGAGUAACACGUGGGUGAUCUGCCCUGCACUUCGGGAUAAGCCUGGGAAACUGGGUCUAAUACCGGAUAGGACCACUGCCUGCAUGGGUGGUGGUGGAUAGCUUUUGCGGUGUGGGGUGGGCCCGCGGCCUAUCAGCUUGUUGGUUGGGUGAUGGCCUACCAAGGUGACGACGGGUAGCCUGCCUGAGAGGGUGACCGGCCAAACUGUGACUGGGAUACGGCCCCUACUCUUACGGGAGGGAGCAGGUGGGAAUAUUGCAUAAUGAGCGCAAGCCUGAGUCAGCGACGCCGCGUUAAGGAGGACGGCCUUCAGGUUGUAAACCUCUUUCAGCACCGACGAAGCGCUAGUGACGUUAGGUGCAGAAGAAGGACCGGCCAUCUGCGUGCAAGCCGCCGCAGUAA